ensembl:snRNA U6 U6 spliceosomal RNA
UCCUACAUCCAGGAUUCCAAAAAAUGAUACAGAGAAGAUUAGUAUGGCCACUGAGCAAGAAUGACAUGCCAAUACAUGAAGCAGUCUAUAGUUUU